GAUGAACGCUAGCUACAGGCUUAACACAUGCAAGUCGAGGGACCGGCGCACGGGUGAGUAACACGUAUCCAACCUGCCCUUUACUCGGGGAUAGCCUUUCGACAGAAAGAUUAAUACCCGAUAUAAAGGAUGGGGAUGCGUUCCAUUAGGUGGUUGGUGAGGUAACGGCCAACCAAGCCUUCGAUGGAUAGGGGUUCUGAGAGGAAGGUUCCCGACAUUGGAACUGAGACACGUUCCAAACUACGACGGGAGGAAGCAGUGAGGAAUAUUGGUCAAGGGGCGGUAGCCUGAACCAGCCAAGUAGCGUGAAGGAUGAAGGGUUAUGGGUCGUAAACUUCUUUUAUAUAAGAAGAUGUAUUAUAUGAAUAAGGAUCGGCUAACUCCGUGCCAGCAGCCGCGGUAAUAC
rnacentral:rRNA from 1 species